rnacentral:lncRNA from 1 species
CUUUUGGAUCACCUCCCGCUCCUGGGCCUGAGUCUUGGCCCCGCGAAUCUCUUCGAUGAGGUCCUGAAGCUUCAGCGAAGGCACCACCAUCCUGACUGGCAGAGUCCGGGAGUGGAGAAACACUCUCUGGUCGGGCGUGCCUGGGCUUUCGGCCCAGGCCCGUCCUGUGUCAAGACCCUAAGAGCCCGGGUCCCACAGGCAGCGGCAGCGGCAGCGACAGCCUGCCUACCCCAGGACUCCAGCCUCACCUGGCUUCUGCCUCAACUCCGCUCCUCUGCCCCCCAGCGCUUCCUGGCUUUAGCGGAGAGACAGCAUGAUAGGCCUGGAGUUCUUCAAGAGGCCUCCUCGCACAUCCUUACCACCCGGAGAGCCUCAGUUUGGAUUUGAAGCCAUCGCACCCCAAAGGAGAUGACAAUCCCCCCCCUUUUUUGAACUUUUUUAUUAAUAUAUUUUUUUUGUUAAAUUUCUUUGUAUUUUUUUCCUGCAAGACUUGGUGUUGGCGGC